ensembl:snRNA U2 U2 spliceosomal RNA
AUCGCUUCUCGGCCUUUUGGCUAAGAUCAAGUGUAGUAUCUGUUCUUAUCAGUUUCAAGGCGAGAAGUAAUGUAGGAUGGCGGCGACGUCGGCCAAUUUUU